CUUGCCAAGGCCUGAGGCCGCCAUGGGCUCCAGGCUCCUCUGCUGUGUGGUCCUUUGUCUCCUGGGAGCAGGCCCAGUGGACUCUGAAGUCACGCAGAACCCCAAGUAUCUGGUCACAGCAAGAGGACAGAACGUGACCCUGAGAUGUUCCUAUAAGACUGGACACGAGUCUGUGUACUGGUACCGGCAGGCCCAGGGCCACAGCCCCGAGUUCCUGGUUCAGUAUUACAAUGGGGACGAGCGAGACAAAGGAAGUCUCCCUGACCGAUUCAAAGUUGGGCAGUCGACAGGCGAUCAUCACUCUCAGCUGAACAUGAGCUCCGUGGAGGUGGGGGAUUCGGCCCUGUAUCUCUGUGCCAGCAGCUUGGCACAGCCCUGCAGGAGCAGCAGCCCAGAGCACAAAAACCUUCCAGCCCAGCUCAGGAAGUGA